UACGUAGGGUGCGAGCGUUGUCCGGAAUUAUUGGGCGUAAAGAGCUCGUAGGCGGUGUGUCGCGUCGGCCCGUGAAAACCUGCAGCUUAACUGUGGGCUUGCGGUCGAUACGGGCAUCACUGGAGUUCGGCAGGGGAGACUGGAAUUCCUGGUGUAGCGGUGAAAUGCGCAGAUAUCAGGAGGAACACCGGUGGCGAAGGCGGGUCUCUGGGCCGAUACUGACGCUGAGGAGCGAAAGCGUGGGGAGCGAACAGG
rnacentral:rRNA from 1 species